UACGAAGGGGGCUAGCGUUGCUCGGAAUUACUGGGCGUAAAGCGCACGUAGGCGGCUUUCUAAGUCGGGGGUGAAAUCCUGGAGCUCAACUCCAGAACUGCCUUCGAUACUGGAAAGCUCGAGUCCGGGAGAGGUGAGUGGAACUGCGAGUGUAGAGGUGAAAUUCGUAGAUAUUCGCAAGAACACCAGUGGCGAAGGCGGCUCA
rnacentral:rRNA from 1 species